AAACCAAAGCUGGCGACCGGCGCACGGUGAGUAACACGUAUCCAACCUGCCUCAUACUCGGGAUAGCCUUUCGAAAGAAAGAUUAAUAUCCGAUAGCAUAUAUUUCCCGCAUGGGUUUUAUAUUAAAGAAAUUCGGUAUGAGAUGGGGAUGCGUUCCAUUAGUUUGUUGGGGGUAACGGCCCACCAAGACUACGAUGGAUAGGGGUUCUGAGAGGAAGGUCCCCCACAUUGGAACUGAGACACGGUCCAA
rnacentral:rRNA from 1 species